CAUUCCUCUAAAACAAAAUUUCUUAUUCUUCAACUUUAGCUUUCUCAUAAAUAUCUGACCAGUGGUUCAAGUGGUUUUGGAUUAGCUUUAAGCCCGAAAAUUGGUAGCAUCAAAUUUUCUGUGGAAAGGAUGAUAUGUAUCCUCGUCAUAAUCUUCACGGUCAAAGAAUGGGCAAAAGCACAUGGCAUCAACAAUUAAAAACUAGGAAAACUAUCAAUUCAUACUCUCUCAACAUGCCUUGUGAUAUUUCGUGGUUUUUCUUCCAUUGUUGUGCCAAAUUAGUUUACCCUUAAUAUUUAAGGUCCAAAUUUGCAAGUUUGGACGCUUUCAACCACCAACCGGAAUUAUUUAGAGCCCUUUCGUUUUCUUGGAGGAAGCGCUGCUCCGCAACUAUCAACAGUCAAGGGAACAUAUUUGUUGCACCAAAUAACAGAUACAACAAAGACGUAAGAAGUUGAGCCCGACCAUUUGUUCUUGCCUUCUCCAACUCCUAAAUGACCUCAAGGUAUAUGAUACUCUCAAAUGGAGGCUUGAAUUCUUAUGUUGUCAUGGCUCUUUCAGAUGGAGGCUUGUUGAGAAGACACAGACUUGGUUAAAGCUGCUGCAUCUAUUUCUCUUCUUAAGUAGACUCGAUGGCUUUUAUGUGAAGAUAGAGGCUUGGUGAGGCUUGUUUUAAAGGAAUGGAUGUUUUCAGAUGGUUCACAUAGUUCUAACAGUAUUAUGUUAGUCCACAAAAAUCUCUCUAUGGGGCAUCGAGUCUUCUUAGCAAGGAAAGGAUUUACCCACGGAAGACAAAUGGAAAGUGUGAUCCAUAUGUCAAAUUGCAGUAUGGAAAGGUAGUUUUCUUUACUUCUAAUUUCUCAAAUUGCACUUUUGGUUUGGUAUGUUAUUUCAACAUUCGUAGGUGCUAAAAGCAACAAGUUCAAGGUGAGUUACAUUAUUAUUGUGGAGGUAGGUUCAUUUGAACUUUGUUAACACGAGGUUUUUAUAUGAUAAUAUGUAUGUUUAAGAUAAUAUGAACUUUCUUAGGUUAGUAGAAAUUUUGGGUUGA